ACUUGGGAGGUCCUUGGGGACUCAGAAGUGUGGGGAAGCUGCCGAACGGUCUCUCCGACCCAAAGAUCCAGACAGCAGGAAAUAAUUUAAAGUUGAAGGAGGUGUGGAGGACUGUUCAAGAAAACUGCGCAGCGGGCUAAGGGACAAAUAAGCGAAAAAGAUUGGUUGAAGUAAAAUUCCACGUAGUAAUCGAGAGACCGCACCGGGGUUGGAGAUUUUCAUACGGUGCUGUGAUUCAGAUUCGGUACGGACCGAUUUUGGACAGCGGUGUAAGCGCCUCGAGUCCUCCACUAUUGAGUGUAGAGGAAUCGGCCGGCCAGACAUGCUGCCAGACACAGCGAAAGGCUGAUUUAAACAAUUAUAUACACAAAUUGUUGGUAAAUUGAAUGAUGCUUACCCAGACUCCGUGGAUCAUAGAACCCUGUGGUUAUAAUUCCACCAUUCUUUUCAACUGCAGCUAUAGCAAGUUCUGAUGCCCACUGGACUUCAAUGUUUACCUUUGCUACAAAGUUGUCAGCCCCCUAUAAGAAAUUAAGCAAGAGCUGUGGGGAUUG